rnacentral:misc_RNA from 1 species
UCUCCGUUGGUGAACCAGCGGAGGGAUCAUUGCUGGAACAAACGCCCUCACGGGUGCUACCCAGAAACCCUUUGUGAAUCUUAUUACAUGUUGCCUCGGCACUGGUUGCUUCCCCCGUGGAAGCCCUGUAGCCCAAUUACAGGAGCCGACCGGCCGACGGCCCCUAUAAACUCUUGUUUUUGUAAAAUCCUCUGAGUAACAAACAACUAAAUGAAUCAAAACUUUCAACAACGGAUCUCUUGGUUCUGGCAUCGAUGAAGAACGCAGC